GGAUGAACGCUGGCGGCGUGCCUAACACAUGCAUGUCGAACGGACGAUGGAAGCUUGCUUCCAAAGUUAGUGGCGGACGGGUGAGUAAUGUAUGAGCAACCUGCCUUUCAGAGGGGGACAACAGUUGGAAACGACUGCUAAUACCGCAUAACGUAUUGAGGGGGCAUCCCUUUAAUACCAAAGGAGCAAUCCGCUGAAAGAUGGGCUCAUAUCUGAUUAGUUAGUUGGCAGGGUAACGGCCUACCAAGACUGCGAUCAGUAGCCGGACUGAGAGGUUGAACGGCCACAUUGGGACUGAGAUACGGCCCAGACUCCUACGGGAGGCAGCAGUGGGGAAUAUUGGGCAAUGGGCGAAAGCCUGACCCAGCAACGCCGCGUGAGUGAUGAAGGUCUUCGGAUCGUAAAGCUCUGUGGUAAAGGAAGAAUGCUAAGAUCAGGAAAUGGUUCUUAGUUGACGGUACUUUACUAGAAAGUCACGGCUUACUACGUGCCAGCAGCCGCGGUAAUACGUAGGUGGCAAGCGUUAUCCGGAUUUAUUGGGCGUAAAGGGUGCGCAGGCGGUCUGUUUAGUCUGGGGUGAAAGCGUUGAGCUCAACUCAAUAUAGCCUCAGAUACUGGCAGACUAGAGUGCAGAAGAGGGUAGUGGAACUCCAUGUGUAGCGGUAAAAUGCGUAGAUAUAUGGAAGAACACCAGCGGCGAAGGCGGCUACCCUGGUCUGUUACUGACGCUCAGGCACGGAAAGCGGUGGGGGAGCAAAUAGGAUUAGAUACCCUAGUAGUCCACGCCCUAAACGAUGAUUUACUAAACGUUGGGGAAACUCAGUGUUGUAGCUAACGCAAUAAGUAAUCCGCCUGGGGAGUAUGCACGCAAGUGUGAAACUUAAAGGAAUUGACGGGGCCCCGCACAAGCGGUGGAGUAUGCGGUUUAAUUCGACGCAACGCGAAGAACCUUACCAGGCCUUGACAUCCCUUGCAAAACUAUAGAGAUAUAGCAGAGGUUAUCAAGGUGACAGGUGGUGCAUGGUUGUCGUCAGCUCGUGUCGUGAGAUGUUGGGUUAAGUCCCGCAACGAGCGCAACCCUUGUCUUUAGUUACCAUCAUUUAGUUGGGGACUCUAGAGAGACUGCCGGUGAUAAACCGGAGGAAGGUGGGGAUGACGUCAAAUCAUCAUGCCCUUUAUGGCCUGGGCUACACGCGUACUACAAUGGCGUACACAACAAGAAGCAAUACAGCGAUGUGGAGCAAAACUUACAAAUUACGUCUCAGUUCAGAUUGAAGUCUGCAACUCGACUUCAUGAAGUUGGAAUCGAUAGUAAUCGCGGAUCAGCAUGCCGCGGUGAAUACGU
rnacentral:rRNA from 1 species